rnacentral:rRNA from 1 species
GACGAACGCUGGCGGCAGGCCUAACACAUGCAAGUCGAGCGGAGCGGCGGACGGGUGAGUAAUGCCUAGGAAUCUGCCUGGUAGUGGGGGAUAACGUCCGGAAACGGGCCCUAAUACCGCAUACUAUCAGAUGAGCCUAGGUCGGAUUAGCUAGAUGGUGGGGUAAAGGCCUACCAAGGCGACGAUCCCUAGCUGGUCUGAGAGGAUGACCAGCCACACUGGAACUGAGACACGGUCCAGACUCCUACGGGAGGCAGCAGUGGGGAAUAUUGCACAAUGGGCGAAAGCCUGAUGCAGCCAUGCCGCGUGUAUGAAGAAGGCCUUCGGGUUGUAAAGUACUUUCAGCGGGGAGGCGUUACCCGCAGAAGAAGCACCGGCUAACUCCGUGCCAGCAGCCGCGGUAAUUC